ensembl:snRNA U5 U5 spliceosomal RNA
CAGCUCGAGUUUCUCUUCAUUGUCGCAUAAAUCUUUCGCCUUUUACUAAAGAUUUCCGUGGAGGGGAGCUUUUGCGAGUGACCUGUAUUUUUUUGGGGGCUCUGCUCACAGCAGAGCU